ACAUCCCGCAAACAUCCCCCAAUCCCGAGCACCGCCGGCCCCCCCCGGCCCCGCGGCCGCGUUCCGGUCCCGCCCCCCCGGCCCCUCCCAGCGGCUGCGCGGCCCGGCCCGGCCCGGCGGCGGCGGAGCGGGAGCCGGAGCGAUGGUGCCCGAGCUGGAGAAAGCCACGGUCCGGAUCCGGCAGCCCGAGCGUGUGCGGGGAUCAUCCGGUCCCUCCGGGAGCAAGGGGUGGACAAGCUGCAGGUCGUUUCUGACUUUGACAUGACGCUGAGCAGGUUUGGGUGCAACGGCAGGCGCUGCCCCACAUCGUACAAUAUCCUCGAUACCAGCCGUGUUGUCAGCGAGGACGGCAGGAAGAAGCUGAAGGAUCUGCUGCACUAUUACUAUCCCAUUGAAAUUGAUCCCAACCGGACCCAGGAAGAGAAAUGUCCCCUCAUGAUAGAGUGGUGGACCAGGGCCCACGAGCUGCUGGUGGAGCAGAAGAUCCGCAAAGAUGACAUAGCCCAGAUCGUCAGGGAGUCGGAAGCGAUGCUGAGGGACGGCUUCAAGGAAUUCUUUGACCGGCUGCACAAGAACAAUGUCCCCCUGUUCAUCUUCUCUGCUGGCGUCGGCGACGUCCUCGAGGAGAUUAUCCGCCAGGCCAGCGUCUUCUACUCCAACGUCAACGUGGUGUCCAACUACAUGGAAUUUGAUGAUGAUGGAGUCCUCACGCACUUCAAGGGACCCCUCAUCCACACCUACAACAAGAACAACACCGUGCUGCAGGGCACGGAGUACUUCCAGCAGCUGAGCACGAGGCCGAACAUCAUCCUGCUCGGGGACUCCAUGGGUGACCUGACGAUGGCAGACGGCAUUCCCAGAGUGGAGAACAUCCUCAAGAUUGGCUUUCUCAAUGACAAGGUGGAGGAGAGGAGGGGGAAGUACCUGGAAGCCUAUGACAUCGUGCUGGAGAGCGACGAGACGCUGGACGUGGCCAACGGGAUUCUCCGGUACAUCCUUACUGAGAUGUGAGCUGGGAAGAGGUGUCCCAGCUCCGGCCCCGCAGCAGGCACUGGGCAGGGAACAUCCUCCCUGGGACAGAGCUGGAGGGAUCUGCUGGUACUGGCUGGGCUCUGUCCUGACCUCUCUAAUGCCCUCGGCCCUGGAGCGGGAGAGAUGAGAUGGAGGAAUCUUCUCCAUUCCCUUUACCCCAACUGCCUGGCUCUGCUGCAUCCCUCUUGGACUGACUUCAUCCCAAUUGGACUUCAUUCUACUAGGAAUUCAUACUCUCUACCUCCCAAGGCCACAACAAACCGUGUUGCAGGAAGAGACGUUCUGCACCUGCUUCAGCAGCUGAGUGUGGAGUGGAGAUGGUUUGCUGUGGGCUGAGGACAGACCCGGCUUAGAUGAAGUUUUAGAGUCACUGUGUUCCUCACUAGGAAAACAAAUCUCUCUCCUGCCCUGUUUUCCUGUUUCUGAGCCCCAGUGACUCCACUGGGCUGGUGUGGCCCUGCCAGGCAUCACAUUGCCCAGCCCCACAUCCCCCAUGGAAUCCUGCAGCUCCCCGGCCCUGGGUCCCACCCCAUCCCUCUUGCACCGGUACAACUCUUACUGUGGACAAAAAGCUUCUCAAGCUGUCCCUGAAGGCCCCAGGACUCGGCUGCUGCUGCUGCCCAAACCCAGAAAGCUCCUCGUGAAUCUUCUCCUGGUCCUCGUCCGACUUCAGCUUCAGCUCCUCGGGCGUGAUCUUCCCGUCCUGGUUGCGGUCCUGGUUCUGGAACAUGUCUGCGAUGACUUUCUCGGGGUCAGAGCUGGGCAUGAGGCGGCCUUUGCCCUCCGCCACCUGGGUCUUGAUGAAGGUGGAGAACUGGAGAAGGGAGAGGGGAGAGAAGCUGCUUGGCUCCGCACAGCUGGCACCAGGCAGGGCAGGGAGACCACAGCCCGUGCCAAGGACAGCAGGGACCAGAGCACCAGCCUGGGGUCCCUCGGCACCCUGGGCCCGCUCACCUCGUCAGCAGGGAUCCCCCCAUCCUUGUUGAGGUCCAUCUGCUCGUAGAGGUUGGCCGGUGGCUCCCCGUGCCAGAUGAAGAGGUAACCCUCGGGAACCCCCUCCUCCAUGGAGAUCAGCUCCACCUCGAAGCGCAGCACGGCGCUGCCGGGCACCCCCCGCGCUGGAAACACAGCGAGGGCUCCAGGACACCGCGGGGAGCACGGCAAAGCCCCAGCCCCAGCAGGGUGAGGAGGGACAGGGCCCUGAGGGGGCUCAGCAAGGCUGAACCCCCCCAGUUUGUGUGGCCCUCAUCGGUCGCCACUCCCCUACCUCCGCUCUCCCCGUGGCCCAGGUGGGGGGGGAUGAUCAGCACCCGCCUCUCCCCCACACACAUGUCCAGGAGGCCACUGUUCAGCCCCUCGAUCACUUUGUUGGCCCCCAGGGUUACUUCCUGGGGUUUCUCGUAGUCGUGGCUGCAGGAGGCACAGAGAAGACAGCGCAGUUCUCCAGGCUCUCCUUGCGGCCGUGGGGCAGGAGGGGACAUCGGGGGCUCUCCCCACACCUGGAGUCGAAGAGCGUCCCGUCCAUGAGCGUCCCGUUGUAGUGGUACCGCACGAAGUCCCCGGUCACAGCCCGGCGCUUGCAGGGCUCCGGCACCUCCAGGUGCUCCAGGAAGACGCCGUCCUUGGGGUUGUGGAAGUCCACCAGCAGCACGCUGAACACCAGCGAUGCCUGCGGUGGGAUCACGGUCCCUGGGGAGGGGACAGGGCUCAGCCCAGGCCAGGAACGGGGGGAUGAUGAUGCUCCUCUUCUCCCCAGCGCACAUGCCCAGCAGCCCCUGGUCCAUGCCCUUGAUCAACCACCCAGUGCCCACAUGUCCAGCAUGACCACGUCAAAGUACAGGGUGGCGUCUGGGGGGAUCAGCCCCGCUACAGAGGCGGCAGCAAGGACAGAGCACUUCAGGGGGCCGGGGUUGCCCAGCGCCGGGGCCCCCAGGAUGCCCAGGAGGAGGAGGAGGAGGAGGAGGAGGCAGCGGCUGCCCGGGGCCAUGGCCAUGGUGCUGGGGCUGCGGCGGCGGAAGGGCCCGGCGGGGGGAAGGCGGAGAAGGGGGGUCCGGGACGCCCCUUCCCUUCGCUUUCCCUCCCUUCCCUUCCCCUGCGCCCGCCCAGCCCGGCCCUCUUGGAAUUUCUGUAGACGUGUCCGGGCCCCGCCGCGCUCCCCCCGCAGAGCCGGGAACAGACACGGCGGCAGAGAACGAUCCACGGCGGGAGGGGUUAUUUUGGUCCCCUCUUUUGUUUUUCCUCUUAUUUUUUUUCUGUGUUUGUUUAUUUUGUUGUGUUUCUCCCCCCCCUCCUAUUUUUACCCUUUUCUUCUCUCUUUUUAACUUUCUCUCUUUUCUUUUUUUUUUUCUUCCUGGGCAGUUCCUCCUCCCAAGGAAAAGCUGACUGAGCCUUUGGGGGAGCGUCUGUGCGGCUGCAGGCCCGGCCCCAAUUCCAAGUGCUGCCGGGCCUCCUUCUCUUCCUCCUCCUCCUCUUCUUCCUCUUCCUUCUCCUGCCACCGCCAGGUCAUCACACCCAGCCCAGGAUGCUGCUGCUCAGUCCCAGCAGUUUGGGAGAGUAAAUGGAAGGAAUUAAGUGCUUUAAUAACGUGCCUGCUGCUGGCAGAGCCUUUACUGAACGGCAGUAAUUAAAAAUGGGAAACUC